rnacentral:rRNA from 1 species
GACGAACGCUGGCGGCGUGCUUAACACAUGCAAGUCGAACGGUGAAGCGCCUUCCUUUUUGGUGGGUGUGGAUGAGUGGCGAACGGGUGAGUAACACGUGAGUAACCUGCCCCCUUCUUCUGGAUAACCGCAUGAAAGUGUGGCUAAUACGGGAUAUUCUGGGUCUGUCGCAUGAUGGGUCUGGGAAAGAUAUUGUUUCGGUGGGGGAUGGGCUCGCGGCCUAUCAGCUUGUUGGUGGGGUGAUGGCCUACCAAGGCGGUGACGGGUAGCCGGCCUGAGAGGGUGGGCGGUCACACUGGGACGGAGACACGGCCCAGACUCCGACGGGAGGCAGCAGUGGGGAAUAUGGCACAGUGGGCGCAAGCCUGAUGCAGCGACGCCGCGUGGGAGAUGGAGGCCUGCGGGUUGUGAACCUCUUUCGCCGGUGAAGCAGGCCUGCCUCGUUUGUGGGUGGGUUGACGGUAGCUGGAUAAGAAGCGCCGGCUAACUACGUG